rnacentral:misc_RNA from 1 species
AUUUCUAUCUAAAAUUUGUAGUAUAAUAAAUUAAUAAUAAUUAUUAUUUUUAAUAGCAUGAAGACCUAUGUAACAUACAAAAAAAGAAUCGGAAAUUAUUAAAGGAAUGUGAAGGGUCUCUUUCAACUGUAGACAUAGAUAAAGAAAUAUAUCCUUGGUAUAAUUAUAAACCAGAUAUGACUGCAUUGAAACAAUGGUCAGAACGUUUAAAAAAUGAAAGGAAAGUCAAAAAAAAAGGUAAUAAAGACAAUUCUAGGAAUUCUGCAAUUAAAAUUAAUAGCUAUACAAAAAUGGCAAGGGAACGAUCAGAAUUUCGUCAAUUCCUUGUGAAUUUAUUUAGGGAAAACCAUACACACAGUCCUAAAGAAAAUGAAACUGGUGAUAUACUAAUGAAAGAAGAAGAAGAAAAAUUAAAAUAUUAUUAUUAUAUUCGAACUGGAAUUGAUUUACAAAAUAUAGCACCAUUAGAAAAAUGUUGGAUAGAUAAAAUAAUCAAUUGGGUGAAUCCUUUUUUAUUGUGAUUUUAUUGAAGAAAGGACAAUCAGUAAGGAUAUAUGGAUUGCCACUCACUUGGCUUAUCACCACGUAACUUUUACCUGUGUAGCUUGCUAAAAGAAAAAAAUUUAUUGUGACAACAUUUGAAUGUUGGAAGAGUUGAAAAUCCACAUAUGACUAGAGAUUGCUAAAUUGCAGUUGCUGAACCGAAGAGUGUUUUCAAGAACAUGCAUUGAUCAUCGGAAGUAAGCACAGAAUUGCUGCAGAGAACUUACCAUACAGGAACACAAUUGAUUGACUAUGAAGACUUUCAAUAUCACACAAAGCGUAUCACACAAUAUGAAGACUUUAUUAUCUAAAAAGGAUUUGCAUUUUGGGCAAUUCAUCUUUCCUCAGUCCUUUACACAUUUCUGUGGUUUUCAAAGUGCGCCCUAGAAGAUUUCCGGGUGCACCCUAUGGUAUUCCAGAGAAAUAUGUGCCCAGAUAUAAAAAUAAAUAUAGUUACAGUAUUCUAUUAUACAAUUUCAUUAUGUAAAUACCGUUCUUUUUGUUAACACGUCAUUAUUAUAUUUAUUAUUAACACAUCAUUAUAUUAUUUUUAGAUAAAUAUACCCAAAUAAAAUGCAUAGAUUUCUCAAAAAGAAGCGUGAUAUUGAAGAAUCUGAUUCUGGAAGUGAGCAAAAGUUAAGUGCAAGUAAGAAAGCAAAAUUUCAGCCUUCUCGCAAACAUAAUGAAAGUUAUUUAAGCUUUGGUUUUACUUGGACCGGCAGUGAAGAUCUUCCUUUACCUCUAUGUUUAGUAUGUGAAUGUAAACUGGCAAAUGAAACAUUGCUUCCUAGUAAAUUGAGUAAACAUUUUAAAACUAUACACUAAUUUACAAGAUAAAUCUAAGUUUUUUCAAGAGAUUGUCUGAACAGCAAACAAAAACGGCAAAAUCUUUUAAAAGUAUAAUGACAGUUUCUGAUAAAGCUCAAAUCGCUUCUUAUCAAGUUUCAGAACUGAUAGCAAGAAAUAUGAAAGCUCAUACUUUAGGUGAGCCACUUAUUUUGCCUGAAUGCAAAAAAAUGGUCAUGACAAUGCUUGGAAAUGAAGCAGCAAUGAAAAUAAGCAAAAUUUCUCUGUCUAACAAUACAGUUCACAGGCAUAUUAUAAAAAUGUCUUCUGAUAUUGAGAAAAAUGUAUGCAGUAAUAAGCUUCAGUAUUCAAAUUUUGCAUUGCAAGUUGAUGAGUCAACAGACAUUACCAACACGGCACAACUCUUAGCAUUCAUCUAUUUUAUUAAUGGAGAUCAAAUAGUAAACCAGUUUCUUUUUUGUAAAGAAUUAAAUGUAUCUAUAAAAGGUAAAGAUGUUUUUAACAUUUUGAAUAAUUAUCUUGAUAAAUGGCAGUUAACAUGAAAGUUGUGUGCAGGCAUUUGUACAGAUGGCACUCCUUCUAUGAUAGGCUGUGUUAAGAGUCUUACAUCUUUUGUAAAAAAAACAAAAUGAGAAUGUUAUCGUAACUCACUGCUUUCUCCUUAGGGAGGCCUUGAUGGCAAAAACAUUGGGAGAAAUAAUUAAGAGAAGUUUUAGAUCAAGUUGUUCAGAUGGUAAACUUUAUUAAAACAAGCCAGUCAAAUCACGUUUAUUCAAAAAGCUUUGUAUCGAUAUGGAUUCACAACACAGACUGCUGCUUUUACACAUUGAGGUGAGGUGAUUGUCAAGGGGAAAAUUACUUACCCAUGUACAUGCGUUAUGACAAUAACUUCUUGCAUUUUUUGAAGAGAUGAAACAGUUAAAAUUUUUGUAACCUCCCUCAGAAUUUUGGAUUGCCAGGUUACAGUAUUUGGCUGAUAUAUUUCAGCAGCUCAAUAUUUUGAAUACAGUAGAACCUCGAAAACUCGGCCUAAUGUGGACCGAAGGGUGGCCGAGUUUGUGAAAAUG